CUCGUGGCCACACCCCUCACGGUCAGCCUCCGAUCUGGGCACCCAGGACAUAGCGGCCUCUAAGCUUCAGCUCCGGCCUGGCACCAGCAACCUUCGGGUCACCUACACCCCUGCCCACAAGCCCAUCGACAUAGCAGACCGGGCACGGCACACCUCACCUCUGCAGUCCUUCCGCCGCCGUCCCUCGAGAAUUAGUUUGUUGUAACUAUCCACAGAGCAUCGACUGCACACCAGAUGCUCUUCCAAGCCCUGGGGGUGGAGCUGUACGCAGGAUUGCUCUGGCUGCCGUGUGGAUGGUAGACUGUUGGAAGGCAGGGUGUCCCUGGAAGCAGAAAAUAUCAUUUAGAAGCUUCUGGAGACAUCCAACCAAGAGGCACCCCGGCCCCCUGCGGGGGCUCACCCGUAUCCAUUUGUUUUCAAUGCGCUGCUUUGCUAAGCGUCCGUGGAAUGCACCUCCCUUGCCAACGGCGCUGGGACAGAACAGAGAGGCAGCUGACCGGACAGUCACUUCCUUAAAAGUCACUUUUUAAAAAAACAAGGAAGUUUGUCUCCACCCUGCUCAGCCAUCACCGAUCUGUCCCGUUACCUUUUCUUCUGAGACCUGAGGGCCCAGACCGACCUUGGAGCACUCGCAUCCCAGCCCAAGUCUGUUCUGUAAUCAAGUACCUUGGAAUUCAAUCAAUCAGACAUUAUUCUGGCGAGUGGACAGGACCAAGGGGGAGGGGCGAGCUCAUUAACACUGUCCCCUUCCAGAUGACGGGAGUCUCAUCGGGCUGGACUUUCUACCUCUCACUUGACCUCCAAGAAGAUAAUCUAUAGUUACAUCUUCAAAACCAACAAAAAAAGGCUAUUUUCCUUGGAAUGUAGCUGGUCAUACAGCUAAGCGAUCGCUGUGCAUUCCUGCUCCGAAAAUGUUCCAGUAACUCCUGGGAGGGAAGAGUUUAAGGAACUCCCAGCUGCUGGGUUCCACCCCAGCCUGGCCUCCUGGCGCAGAGCCUCCGGCCCCCCCGAGAAUUCCAGAGAAGACAGGUUAGCUCGGAUUGAGAUUUCUAAAACAAAGUUACAGUACCACCAACUGUCUAAUGGGAGUGUCAGCUGCUCUAAGGGAUGAUUUUGCUGACCUUGUCUGGUGUUGGGGGGAUGGCAGAGAGGCCCCCCGCGUGCACGUGUAAACACGGGCACAGAAAUGGGGGUGGCCGUGUCAGGACGCAGAAACAGAGCUCAGCGCCCUGGCGGUGGGGACGGGGGACAGCCACAUCCAGCGAUGGCUAAUGGGAAUUACCUGAAACGUCCACGUGUGCCACAGAGACAAUCAUCUGGGUCACAGAACAAAGAUACAUUCGUAGUCAAUGUGUUUUAGUCCAAAUUACUUUAUUUCCUUAUCCCUAAAUUUUGGAUGUCUAUAAACCACACUUAAGAAAUUGCCUAGCCCAGAAUGUGAAGAAUUUUUGGAAAUAGAGUUUUUAUGUCCUGAACUCAUCUAUUUGUCUCACACUUAACAACUGCAAGUGGUUCAUCCACUAAAUAAAAACAUACCACUUGUGCAACGAUUAAAAAUCCUAUUUCCUGGGGCUCAAUA